CUCUGGGCUUGGAUCUAUUGUGUGCCUUUGCUGGCCCUGCUCGUUCCAAGUUGGUAGUGGCCUGUUUGGCCCAAGCGAAAGCUCAGGCUUCAUUGGACCUGAAGUGGUAGGAACGGCGUGAGGUUGGGUUCACAGAGCAGCGAUCACUGCUCGCUUCCAACGGUGGAAGGAUAACAGGCCGCUACAUCACGGGCCCAACCUGGACCAGGAG
rnacentral:SRP_RNA from 2 species